GGGUACCAUGAUUUGAGUGAAUUAUGAUGUCUUGGGGAGAUAUGAUAAUAUAAAAAUCAUGCUAGGAUUACAUAGGGGCCC
ensembl:snoRNA SNORD115 Small nucleolar RNA SNORD115